AUUGAACGCUGGCGGCAGGCCUAACACAUGCAAGUCGAACGAGUGGCGGACGGGUGAGUAAUGUCUGGGAAACUGCCUGACGGAGGGGGAUAACUACUGGAAACGGUAGCUAAUACCGCCUACCAUCGGAUGUGCCAAGAUGGGAUUAGCUAGUAGGUGGGGUAAAGGCUCACCUAGGCGGCGAUCCCUAGCUGGUCUGAGAGGAUGACCAGCCACCAUGGAACGGAGAAACGGUCCAGAGUCCUACGGAAGGCAGCAGUGGGGAAUAUUGCACAAUGAGCGCAAGCCUGAUGCAGCCAUGCCGCGGGUAUAAGGAAGGCCUUCGGGUUGUAAAGUACUUUCAGCGGGGAGACAUUACCCGCAGAAGAAGCACCGGCUAACUCCGUGCCAGCAGCCGCGGUAAUAC
rnacentral:rRNA from 1 species